AUGUCACACACAAAGACAGAAGCAGGCGAUGACCAAAUCAUAUGCAGUCCUGACCACCGAACCCAUGUAGACCCGUCACAGACACACAUUCUUCCAAAGAUGCUGAUUCUCACGUGUUUCUCACGCCCCCUUCCCCCCAAUGCUCACGACAAUGCAAGUCACCAGACAUCCCCACCUGCUGGUGCGGCCUGCCCCUCUCUCGGCCUCCCCCCACGUACACUGUGGCACCACGCAUGUUGUCUCCAGCUUUCCGGCUCACUGGGGAGGGUGGAGUCAGGCUGGAACAAUCAGCCCAUAUUGGGUUCCCUGAACUGCCCUGUCACACUUGGUCCCUCGCCACGACGCCAACACCAACCACAUUGCCACCGACCCCGGCCUGUCAGAUACAAUCCCACGUGGAUGCACAAUCUUCCCCCACACAGCCCUGCGCUCGCACUGGAGGAGAAUGCUGGGCACAUACUGCCUUUCCCAGAAUCCCAGAAUACAGGUGUGGCACGGAGGGGAUGGGCUACACGCCCUCUGGGGCACUGCACAUCGUUGAGGCCUGCUUCCCUCCCCUCUGCAGCCCCCCAGGGCGGUAGUCCAGGGCCCUGGACUCUGGGAGCCUUGCUGAGAAAGGCAGGCUGCUUCCUGGAAUGCGGCCCCGGGCUGGGGAGGGGGCUGGGGUCUGCCAGGACCGUUAAGCCCUGGGCGGGGAGGGCGUGUGGCCUGGCUCCUGGUCUCCCUCUGUCCCCCUUCUGCUCUGAGCUAGGGGCCGACUCUGCCUCCCAGGACACAAGUCCCCAAAGUGCCUGCGAGGGUGGGCCCUGCCGCCCGGGCCUCCUGCACCCUCUCCCCCGGGCCUGCGAGGCCCAUCUCGGUCCCACCCUGGGGCCUUUCCCGUGGACACUCACCCACUCAUUGGCCAAACCACCUGCUGGUUCUCCCAGGUGCAGCUGGAAGCAGCCCUUGCAGACACACUGCCCCAGGCCCGGAGCAGAGAGCAGGUGGGGGCGGGGGUGCCGCAGGCCUCAGCCCGCCUCCCCCUUCUUUGUCACCUUUGCAGGGGGCGCCGCUUCUGUAGAUAUUUUAAACUUGGGGCUGCAAAUCUCCUUUGGGGCGGUUGUGCUUGGUGGGGGCUCCUGA
rnacentral:lncRNA from 1 species